rnacentral:misc_RNA from 1 species
CUCUAGCCCCGAUUGGAGCAAUUGUUUGAGCUCAUUUUCAGGGUUUCGGGUUGGGGCAAGCCUUUGGCUUGCCCCAACCCGAAACCCUGAAAAUAGCGAGUGCGGAAAGCGGGAAAUAGC